CUACGGGCUGCAGCAGUGAGGAAUAUUGCACAAUGGGGGGAACCCUGAUGCAGCAACGCCGCGUGGAGGAUGACGCAUUUCGGUGUGUAAACUCCUUUUAUAUGUCAAGAAAAUGACGGUAGCAUAUGAAUAAGCACCCGCUAACUCCGUGCCAGCAGCCGCGGUAAUACGGAGGGUGCAAGCGUUAAGCGGAAUCACUGGGCGUAAAGGACGCGUAGGCGGGUUGGAAAGUCAGGUGUGAAAUCCUACAGCUUAACUGUAGAACUGCACUUGAAACUUCUAAUCUAGAGUAUGGGAGGGGGAGAUGGAAUUAGUGGUGUAGGGGUAAAAUCCGUAGAUAUCACUAGGAAUACCUAAAGCGAAGGCGAUCUCCUGGAACAUUACUGACGCUAAGGCGUGAAAGCGUGGGGAGCAAACAGGAUUAGAUACCCGCGUAGUC
rnacentral:rRNA from 1 species